AGAGUUUGAUCCUGGCUCAGGAUGAACGCUAGCGGCAGGCUUAACACAUGCAAGUCGAGGGGUAUUGGUUUUCGGACCAAGAGACCGGCGCACGGGUGCGUAACGCGUAUGCAAUCUACCUUUUACAGAGGGAUAGCCCAGAGAAAUUUGGAUUAAUACCUCAUAGUAUUACGACUCGGCAUCGAGAUGUAAUUAAAGUCACAACGGUAAAAGAUGAGCAUGCGUCCCAUUAGCUUGUUGGUAAGGUAACGGCUUACCAAGGCAACGAUGGGUAGGGGUCCUGAGAGGGAGAUCCCCCACACUGGUACUGAGACACGGACCAGACUCCUACGGGAGGCAGCAGUGAGGAAUAUUGGUCAAUGGGCGCAAGCCUGAACCAGCCAUGCCGCGUGCAGGAUGAAGCAUCUAUGGUGUGUAAACUGCUUUUGUACGAGAAGAAACACUACUUCGUGAAGUAGCUUGACGGUAUCGUAAGAAUAAGGACCGGCUAACUCCGUGCCAGCAGCCGCGGUAAUACGGAGGGUCCAAGCGUUAUCCGGAAUCAUUGGGUUUAAAGGGUCCGUAGGCGGUUUAGUAAGUCAGUGGUGAAAGCCCAUCGCUCAACGGUGGAACGGCCAUUGAUACUGCUAAACUUGAAUUGUUGGGAAGUAACUAGAAUAUGUAGUGUAGCGGUGAAAUGCUUAGAUAUUACAUGGAAUACCAAUUGCGAAGGCAGGUUACUAUCAAUACAUUGACGCUGAUGGACGAAAGCGUGGGUAGCGAACAGGAUUAGAUACCCUGGUAGUCCACGCCGUAAACGAUGGAUACUAGCUGUUCGGAGCAAUCUGAGUGGCUAAGCGAAAGUGAUAAGUAUCCCACCUGGGGAGUACGUUCGCAAGAAUGAAACUCAAAGGAAUUGACGGGGGCCCGCACAAGCGGUGGAGCAUGUGGUUUAAUUCGAUGAUACGCGAGGAACCUUACCAAGGCUUAAAUGUAGAUUGACCGGUUUGGAAACAGACUUUUCGCAAGACAAUUUACAAGGUGCUGCAUGGUUGUCGUCAGCUCGUGCCGUGAGGUGUCAGGUUAAGUCCUAUAACGAGCGCAACCCCUGUCGUUAGUUGCCAGCGAGUGAUGUCGGGAACUCUAACGAGACUGCCAGUGUAAACUGUGAGGAAGGUGGGGAUGACGUCAAAUCAUCACGGCCCUUACGCCUUGGGCUACACACGUGCUACAAUGGCCGGUACAGAGAGCAGCCACUGGGCGACCAGGAGCGAAUCUAUAAAACCGGUCACAGUUCGGAUCGGAGUCUGCAACUCGACUCCG
rnacentral:rRNA from 1 species